rnacentral:rRNA from 1 species
AUUGAACGCUGGCGGCAGGCCUAACACAUGCAAGUCGAGCGAGCGGCGGACGGGUGAGGAAUGUGUGGGAAACUGCCUGAUGGAGGGGGAUAACUACUGGAAACGGUAGCUAAUAACGCAUACGAUAAGAUGGGCCCAGAGGGGAUGAGAGGGUGGGGAGGGUAACGGCUCACCUAGGCGACGAUCCCUAGCUGGUCUGAGAGGAUGACCAGCCACACUGGAACUGAGACACGGCCCAGACUCCUACGGGAGGCAGCAGUAGGGAAUAUUGCACAAUGGGCGCAAGCCUGAUGCAGCCAUGCCGCGUGUGUGAAGAAGGCCUUCGGGUUGUAAAGCACUUUCGGCGGGGAGGCGUUACCCGCAGAGAAAGCACCGGCUAACUACGUGCCAGCAGCCGCGGUAAUAC